UUGGAGCUGGCACAGCGCUGUGAAAACUUCAAUUUACUGUCAGCUAUUAUCAGAGGACACGUGAGGGAAACAAAUAAAAACAGAAACCCUCAAAAUGAAACUGCCAAUACGCUCAUUUACAGUCAUUAAGUAAUUUCCUGUAAAUCGGAAUAUAUAGACACCUUA